rnacentral:rRNA from 1 species
UACGUAGGGCGCAAGCGUUGUCCGGAAUUAUUGGGCGUAAAGAGCUCGUAGGCGGCUUGUCACGUCGGGUGUGAAAGACCGGGGCUUAACCCCGGUUCUGCAUUCGAUACGGGCUGGCUAGAGUGUGGUAGGGGAGAUCGGAAUUCCUGGUGUAGCGGUGAAAUGCGCAGAUAUCAGGAGGAACACCGGUGGCGAAGGCGGAUCUCUGGGCCGAUACUGACGCUGAGGAGCGAAAGCGUGGGGAGCGAACAGG